UACAGAGGGUGCGAGCGUUAUUCGGAAUUACUGGGCGUAAAGCGCGCGUAGGCGGCUUUGCAAGUCGGGUGUGAAAUCUCCAGGCUUAACCUGGGAACUGCAUUCGAGACUGCAUUGCUAGAGUAUGGGAGAGGGAAGUGGAAUUUCCGGUGUAGCGGUGAAAUGCGUAGAUAUCGGAAGGAACAUCAGUGGCGAAAGCGACUUCCUGGACCAAUACUGACGCUCAGGUGCGAAAGCGUGGGGAGCAAACAGG
rnacentral:rRNA from 1 species